UUGACAUACUAAGAACUUUCCAGAGAUGGAUUGGUGCCUUCGGGAACUUAGAUACAGGUGCUGCAUGGCUGUCGUCAGCUCGUGUCGUGAGAUGUUGGGUUAAGUCCCGCAACGAGCGCAACCUUUUCCUAUUUGCCAGCGGGUCAUGCCGGGAACUUUAAGGAUACUGCCAGUGACAAACUGGAGGAAGGCGGGGACGACGUCAAGUCAUCAUGGCCCUUACGGCCAGGGCUACACACGUGCUACAAUGGUCGGUACAAAGGGUUGCUACCUCGCGAGAGGAUGCUAAUCUCAAAAAGCCGAUCGUAGUCCGGAUCGCAGUCUGCAACUCGACUGCGUGAAGUCGGAAUCGCUAGUAAUCGCGGAUCAGAAUGCCGCGGUGAAUACGUUCCCGGGCCUUGUACACACCGCCCGUCACACCAUGGGAGUUUGUUGCACCAGAAGUAGGUAGUCUAACCGCAAGGAGGACGCUUACCACGGUGUGGCCGAUGACUGGGGUGAAGUCGUAACAAGGUAGGCGUAGAUGA
rnacentral:rRNA from 1 species